UAGGCAUCAGCACCGCACAGGUGUCCUGUUCUACAGAAUGUUUGAACCUGGCAACUCAGAUUCGCAAUGCCGACAGUAUUUUCACUGCAGCUUCCCUUUAUAGCGAGUUUUUCAUCGAUGGUUGCAAUAUCCAGUGCCUAAACCAAAGAACACAGACUACAACUACGACAACCAGAACAACUACAAAUACAGCAACACCAUCGACAACAACAUCAAGAAUAAUGUCAACAACAACUGCGCAGGAACCGCGUAUCAAAUCUGGUUAAUAUGCUAAAGUUUUGCAGAACAACACUUUGCAUGGCAUAAUGCACGUUACAAACAACGCCUGUGACAAUAUCAUCCCGGUCAACGCAGAUUUUGUGUGGUAUUUACAAUAAAGAUGCACCAAUUUAAACCACUGAUUUCUGUGUAAGAAUA
rnacentral:lncRNA from 1 species